rnacentral:rRNA from 1 species
UGGGGAAUAUUGCACAAUGGGGGAAACCCUGAUGCAGCGACGCCGCGUGGAGGAAGAAGGUCUUCGGAUUGUAAACUCCUGUUGUUGGGGAAGAUAAUGACGGUACCCAACAAGGAAGUGACGGCUAACUACGUGCCAGCAGCCGCGGUAAAACGUAGGUCACAAGCGUUGUCCGGAAUUACUGGGUGUAAAGGGAGCGCAGGCGGGAAGACAAGUUGGAAGUGAAAUCUAUGGGCUCAACCCAUAAACUGCUUUCAAAACUGUUUUUCUUGAGUAGUGCAGAGGUAGGCGGAAUUCCCGGUGUAGCGGUGGAAUGCGUAGAUAUCGGGAGGAACACCAGUGGCGAAGGCGGCCUACUGGGCACCAACUGACGCUGAGGCUCGAAAGUGUGGGUAGCAAACAGGAUUAGAUACCCUGGUAGUCCACACCGUAAACGAUGAUUACUAGGUGUUGGAGGAUUGACCCCUUCAGUGCCGCAGUUAACACAAUAAGUAAUCCACCUGGGGAGUACGACCGCAAGGUUGAAACUCAAAGGAAUUGACGGGGGCCCGCACAAGCAGUGGAGUAUGUGGUUUAAUUCGAAGCAACGCGAAGAACCUUACCAGGUCUUGACAUCGAGUGACGUACCUAGAGAUAGGUAUUUUCUUCGGAACACAAAGACAGGUGGUGCAUGGUUGUCGUCAGCUCGUGUCGUGAGAUGUUGGGUUAAGUCCCGCAACGAGCGCAACCCUUACCAUUAGUUGCUACGCAAGAGCACUCUAAUGGGACUGCCGUUGACAAAACGGAGGAAGGUGGGGAUGACGUCAAAUCAUCAUGCCCCUUAUGACCUGGGCUACACACGUACUACAAUGGCAAUAUAACAGAGGGAAGCAAUACAGCGAUGUGGAGCAAAUCCCCAAAAAUUGUCCCAGUUCAGAUUGCAGGCUGCAACUCGCCUGCAUGAAGUCGGAAUUGCUAGUAAUCGCAGAUCAGCAUGCUGCGGUGAAUACGUUCCC